CUGUAAAGAGAUGAGUGUGAGUAGUCAGAGGUGAAACAAUGAGAAAAUGAAGCUGAUCCUGAGCAGUCUGCUGCUGGCCUCUCUCUGUGCCAUCUCAUCUUGGAGUGUUUCAUUUACAGAUGCUGUGAUGCAGAGUCCUGAUGUCUCUGUUAAGGAGGGGGAGACGUUUAACAUCACCUGCUGCUGGAGAGGAAACGCUGAGAGAAUAAGAAUUUACUGGCUGAAACAUCAAACAGAAGUUUUGGAUGAGUCUAUCAUCUUGAAUCAACAAUCUCAGGAACCUCUGAAAAGUGACUUAAAUUACUGCUCAGCUUUGACCUUUUCAAACAUCACAAGAGAAGAUUCAGGGAGAUACAUCUGCAAGGUGUUUGUGGUGAUACCAUUUUUUGCUGUAUACCAAGGAAAUGGAACAGUCAUCACAGUUACAGACACAGGGGUUACAAAUGGUAAGUGAUUAAACUGCUGGUGGUUCUCAUGGGAUGGAUAUAUUGAUCUUUUGUCUGAGGUGUUUGCUUCUCCUUGUUCUUCUUGUAACCCUCUUCUACGUCCACAACAACAGAUGGACCAAACCUCAGCAACACAAAGCAGCUGCUCCUUCAAAUACACCCACUCCAACCCAAAGAGGAGAGGAAGACCAGGAAGAAGAGGGAAAAGAUGAGACAGGAGCAGAAGGAAGAAGAGAAAAAAAACUGACUGACCUCAGUUAAUAAAACAUCGGAAACUCUGUUACUGUGUUUUGAAAAAUGCAAUAUAAAUAAAGUCUAUUAUUACUACAAUAUUAUCACAUUGAAGAACCAUAUUUAGCAUAAACUGUAUUUAAAUGAAGGCUGUCUUCAGUGUCUCUCACCCAGCAGGUAGUUAAGACACAGUUAAUCUAGAAAACAACUCAUUUCAGUAUACAGUGCUUUGCACUCAUGUUUUAUUGUCAGUGUUGAAACCCUGUUUCCCUGUUUUGGUUAGUUUCAUGUUUUAAUUUCAAAUAUUAAACAGACAGUUCGACAAACUCAGUUUGGACACAACCUUUUCAAAGCCAACAUCAUCUCAGAAAUAGCUGUUCAGCUAAAUACAAGAUUGUUCCAGAGACACUGACUAAUCCAAGAAACAG